GGUCCUCUUCAGAUGGUGAACAUUGCACAAAAUGCCCAGAAGAUCAGCAUCCAAAUAAGAACCAAGAUCAAUGUGUUCUCAAGAUUAUCAGCUUCCUGGCUUAUGAAGAACAUCUGGGGAUCAGCUUAGCUUUCAUUGCCCUAUUCCUGUCUGUAAUGCCAGACAUGGUGUUAGGAAUCUUCAUUAAAUACAAGGAAACUCCAAUAGUCAAAGCCAACAACUGGGACCUCUCCUACAUCCUCUUAGUCUUCCUCCUGCUUUCCUUUUUAUCCUCUUGUCUCUUCAUACGCUGGCCAAGGAAAGUGACCUGCCUUCUCAGACAAACAGUCUUCAGCCUUAUCUUCUCAGCUGCUGUUUCUUCUGUAUUAGCAAAAAAUAUCACUGUGGUGCUGGCCUUCCUGGCCACCAAACCCAGAAGCAGGGUGAGGAGAUGGUUGGGGUCUGGCCAACUCCAUUGUCAUUUCCUGAUCCGGUGUCCAAGUUGUCAUCUGCACCAUCUGGCUGGGCAUGUCUCCCCCUUUCCCGGAGUCUGACAUGCACUCCCAGCCCCGAGAGAUCAUCCUGCAGUGUAAUGAAGGAUCUGUUGCCAUGUUUUACACUGUCCUUGGCUACAUGGACUUCCUGGCUGCCAUCUGCUUCACAAUGGCUUUCCUAGCCAGGAAGCUGCCUGGGGCCUUCAAUGAAGCCAAGUUGACCUUCAGCAUGCUGGUCUUCUGCAGUGUUUGGGUGUCCUUUGUGCCCACCUACCUGAGCACAAAGGGGAAAUACAUGGUAGGUGUUCAGGUUUUCUCUAUGUUGGCCUCCAGUGCUGGGCUUCUGGGCUGCAUCUUCAUUCCCAAAUGCUACAUUAUUUUUCUGAGGCCUGAUCUGAAUACAAAGGAGCACCUGACAACAAAAGAUUAAGAUGCCAUUUAUAUUUUAAAAUAUUCAAAAUUGAUUAUACCCAGUACUACAGAACUCAAACACACAUAGUUGUGUCUAAAACAUAUUGCUUUAUCACAGCUCAGGGCUCCUUUAUGAGCACAGAGCAAAACAAAAUUAUCCCCCAACCAGACACAGGACUUAGAAAUUGGCCUUCCCUACCUUUUAUCAUAUGUGGUGGAAUUGUAAAAUAAUGAAAGAACUCUGGGAAACGAUUUAUAAUGAAUUGAAAAAAAAAAUGUUUAAGAUAAUGUUUGUUAAAAAACCAGAAGCUUUCUUAUUAGGAAUUAUAGGUGCAGAAAUACUGAAGCAGCAGAAAAAGGCUGUUUAUGUACCCAAUGGCAGCUGCUAGAAUGCUUGUGGCCCAGAGAUGGAAAGACAACAAGGUCCCUACCAUAGAGGAAUGGCAAAUUAAAUUGAUGGACUAGGCUGAAAUGUCAAAAAAUGACUGGGAAAAUCAGAAACCAGGAAGAUCAAGACUUUAAUAAAGAGUGGGGGAAAUUUAUAGUGUAUUUGGAAGACCACUCUAAACAACUGAUCCCUUUAACAGGGCUUAUCUAGCACUUGAAGGUAACAAAGACUUGGGAUAUAAUGAACAAAUGGAAUAUCUUAUUGAUAUAAAUUACGCAGUAGAAAAGGACAAAUAUGGAACUCAGGGAAAGGUGGAGGGAAGUCAUCUAGUCAGAAUAGUUUUAGGCAUUCUUGACAAUGGUUGCCAAGGAAAUUGGAACUCUGGGAAAGUGACAGUUGGAGGCAGUUCUGCUGUGGGAGUUAGAAGGAGGAAUGGAGGGCUGAUGUGGAGGAAUAAUGGGAGAUGCCCUCUUGGGUGCACGAACCAACUGAGGCUGUGAGGGCAUGUCAGAAGAAAGGUAGCACUUAAAUAGCUAUGACUACUAUUACUGAAAUCCUAGGACUAGGAAAGACCCCAGGUGCUCAGACAAUAUCAUGGAAGUUAUGGCACUUGGGAAUCUGGGAGACAGGCUCUCAAGAGCACAUAUGUUUAGGCAGGAAACCAUUCAGGUCCAGUGCAAGAAGUUACCUCAUAUUGCUCUUGAGUCUGAUGUUUAGUUGAUUGUUUUCAAAGGUGAUCUCUAGUUAAAUCCCCGGAGCUUUGGCAGGAAGAAGAAUAAUUAUAAGGGGAAGAAGCAUCACCUUGGCAACAUCCUGGAGUCUCUGUGGGGCUUAAGGCCCAAGUGCAAAGUUGGAGGAAAACAUGUUUAUGAGAACUUGCAGAAGGUGGCUCUCUGGUCUCAACAUGGGUCAGUUUGGGAGGGUGGGGAGGACAUGUAAGCUUGGCCUGGCCUUUCCUGACAAAACACUUUCAUUAGAGUGAGGUAUUAUUUUAGGGUGUUACCAAUGUUUGUCCUACUCAGAGUAGACCCAUUGAAAUGAAGAUGCAUGAUUAACUUUGGUUCAUUGGGUGGGAUUCAAUGAACUUGUUGCAUACAUGGAUGCAACAAUCCCUCAUGUGAUGGGACUUCCCACCUCCUCAUUUAAUGUGCCCCCUAAAUCUGUGAGAACUCACUGUCCAAAGGGUCAUGAUAACCAGCAUGUACUUCAAUUACACACUCAGCAUGGUGUGGUCAUUUCUGAAGAGUACGCACACAUGAAACUUCCUCUUAUUGGUUCAUUUCACUUACGAAUUUCUUCCUACGAAACAACAAUAAGAAAUAAAUAAAAGUCUUUCAUAUCUGAAAACAAUCAAAAACAAUCCUAUAUAUAAAAACAAUUUCAAAUCCAAUACAGAUACAGACUGUGAAAAAGUUCUCUGCUUAAGUGGCUGGUUCAGGAAGAAAGGUAUUCAAAAGCACCAAAAGGUAUGAUAUAUAACUGAUUGUUGUUGUUGUUUAGUCGUUUACUCGUGUCCGACUCUUCGUGACCCCAUGGACCAGAGCACGCCAGGCCCUCCUGUCUUCCACAGUCUCCCGCAGUUUGGUCAAACUCAUGCUGGUAGCUUCGAGAACACUGUCUCUCGUCCUCUGUCGUCUCCUUCUCCUUCUGCCCUCCAUCUUUCCCAGCAUCUGGGUCUUUUCCAGGGAGUCUCCUCUUCUCAUGAGGUGGCCAAAGUAUUGGCGCCUCAGCUUCAGGAUUUGUCCUUCCAGUGAGCACUCAGGGCUGAUUUCCUUCAGAAUGGAUAGGUUUGAUCUUCUUGCAGUCCAUGGGACUCUCAAGAGUCUCCUCCAGCACCAUAAUUCAAAAGCAUCAAGUUCCAUAUUGAAGGUGCCACCACGCUAAAGGCCCUGGGUUCAUAAGGAACCCUCCCUGCAGAGUGCAUUGGCUGGUUGGAUGUAUAAUGGACACCAAAAUGUACACAUGACAAAAUAAUAAUAAUAAUAAAUUAUUAUUUAUACCCCAGCCACUCUGGGCGGCUUCAAUACAAUAACCUAUUAAACAUUCAUACAAAGAAUUAUUGGAAGAAGAGAACAACCAACUUAAAUUGAAAAAAUAUGACAUACUUAAACAAAUGGGCAUAAGUUGGUUACCAUAGCAUCAGCUAAAUGAAAUUUUUAAGGAAGGGAAAAAAAUAAUAAAUGGAUUUGAUACUAAAUUAUUAGAUUUUGAAAGUGAAUUGCUAUUAAAUAAUAAAAAUCUCUCAAAAAUGUAUGUUAUUAUAAGAUUGGAAUCUAAAAGAUGAAGAAGUUAAAGAGGUGAUGGUUAAAUGGGCCCAAGAUUUUGGUUAUCCACUAGAAUUGGUGAAAUGGGAAAACCUUUGGGGGAAAGAUAUGAAAUUCACAGCAUGCUAACUGAUUAAAGAAAAUAUUAUGAAGAUGGCUUACAGGUGGUAUUCGAGCCCAUCAAAAUUGGCAACAACAAAAAAAGUAUUAAGUGUUGGCGGUGUUAUCAUGAAAAUGGAAACUUUUUCCACAUGUGGUGAAUGUGUCCCAAAAAAAAUCUUUUUGGGUCACAAUUUAUGACCCAAAUUAAAGAAAAUGAUAAAAUACACAUUUCCUAAAAAACCGGAAUUAUUUUUAUUAGGUAUCUUUAUAACAAAUAUCCCAGAAAUUAAUAAAAGAGUAUUUCUUUAUGCAAUUACGGCUGCCAGGAUUCUGAUAGCAAAGUACUGGAAAAGUAAUGUAAUACUGACAAAAGAAGAAUGGCACCUAAAGUUAUGUGAGUAUCUUGAGUUGGCAAAAUCAACAGGAGUAAUAAGAAAUCAAUCUGGAGACAAUAUCAGAAAAGAAUGGGAUGUUUUUAAAAAUUAUGGUUCCAACGAUCACAAUUGGUUGAGCACAGACUAAAUUCCACAGAGAUAACAGAACGGUUCUCCACCAUGUUAAAAUGGAUGUAGAAAUUUUAAGAUAUGAAAAAUUAAGAACCGCAUGGAGGCAGAAGGAAGUCAUCAAAUAAAUCACGGGAAUGAAACCAGAGAUUAGACAUAGAUAGGAAA
rnacentral:lncRNA from 1 species